rnacentral:rRNA from 1 species
GACGAACGCUGGCGGCGUGCCUAAUACAUGCAAGUCGAACGCUUCUUUCCUCCCGAGUGCUUGCACUCAAUUGGAAAGAGGAGUGGCGGACGGGUGAGUAACACGUGGGUAACCUACCCAUCAGAGGGGGAUAACACUUGGAAACAGGUGCUAAUACCGCAUAACAGUUUAUGCCGCACGGCAUAAGAGUGAAAGGCGCUUUCGGGUGUCGUUGAUGGAUGGACCCGCGGUGCAUUAGCUAGUUGGUGAGGUAACGGCUCACCAAGGCCACGAUGCAUAGCCGCCGUGGGAGGGUGAUCGGCCACACUGGGACUGAGACGCGCCCCAGCCUCCUGCGGGAGGCAGAAGUAGGGAAUCUUGGGCAAGGGAGGAAAGUCUGACGGAGAACCGCCGGGGGAGUAAAAAGGGUUUUCGGAUCUAAAAACUUUGUUGUAAGAGAAAAAAAAGGAGUUAAGAAACUGACCGCCCCUGGACGGUACCAAACAAGAAAGCCACGGCUAACUACGGG